CCCCUACGGGGGGCAGCAGUGAGGAAUAUUGGUCAAUGGGCGGGAGCCUGAACCAGCCAAGUCGCGUGAGGGAAGACGGUCCUAUGGAUUGUAAACCUCUUUAGGCGGGGAGCAAUGCCGGGCACGUGUGCCCGGAGGGAGAGUACCCGCAGAAUAAGCAUCGGCUAACUCCGUGCCAGCAGCCGCGGUAAUACGGAGGAUGCGAGCGUUAUCCGGAAUGAUUGGGCGUAAAGGGUGCGUAGGCGGUCGAUUAAGUCUGGAGUGAAAGGUACCGGCUCAACCGGUAUAGGCUCCGGAAACUGAUG
rnacentral:rRNA from 1 species